GUGUAGUAGCGUUCCCUUUGGGCCACAUUCCCACCACUUCUGUGUCCCUCCUGAAGCUGUACACUCCAUCAAAGAGGAAUACCAUCCUGGAUAGAGGAGGUCAGGUCUUUGGUCAAGGGUAUAGGAGUAGCUGCGUUCCUGUGCUAGAACCAUCAAACAGACUCUCAAAGAAAACUUCUUCUAUUUAUACAUAUUUGAUUAUAUAUACCCCUUCAACACACAUUAUACUUCUUCCUCCAAU
ensembl:misc_RNA 7SK 7SK RNA